GACGAACGCUGGCGGCGUGCCUAAUACAUGCCAGUAGAACGCUGAAGGAGGAGCUUGCUUCUCUGGAUGAGUUGCGAACGGGUGAGUAACGCGUAGGUAACCUGCCUGGUAGCGGGGGAUAACUAUUGGAAACGAUAGCUAAUACCGCAUAAUAGCAGUUGUUGCAUGACAACUGUUUGAAAGGUGCAAUUGCACCACUACCAGAUGGACCUGCGUUGUAUUAGCUAGUUGGUGGGGUAACGGCUCACCAAGGCGACGAUACAUAGCCGACCUGAGAGGGUGAGCGGCCACACUGGGACUGAGACACGGCCCAGACUCCUACGGGAGGCAGCAGUAGGGAAUCUUCGGCAAUGGACGGAAGUCUGACCGAGCAACGCCGCGUGAGUGAAGAAGGUUUUCGGAUCGUAAAGCUCUGUUGUAAGAGAAGAACGAGUGUGAGAGUGGAAAGUUCACACUGUGACGGUAUCUUACCAGAAAGGGACGGCUAACUACGUG
rnacentral:rRNA from 1 species